CAGAGCUUAACUCUGGAACUGCCAUCAAAACUUUUCAGCUAGAGUAUGAUAGAGGAAAGCAGAAUUUCUAGUGUAGAGGUGAAAUUCGUAGAUAUUAGAAAGAAUACCAAUUGCGAAGGCAGCUUUCUGGAUCAUUACUGACACUGAGGAACGAAAGCAUGGGUAGCGAAGAGGAUUAGAUACCCUCGUAGUCCAUGCCGUAAACGAUGUGUGUUAGACGUUGGAAAUUUAUUUUCAGUGUCGCAGCGAAAGCGAUAAACACACCGCCUGGGGAGUACGACCGCAAGGUUAAAACUCAAAUGAAUUGACGGGGACCCGCACAAGUAGUGGAGCAUGUGGUUUAAUUCGAAGAUACGCGCAGAACCUUACCAACACUUGACAUGUUCGUCGCGACUUUAAGAGAUUAAAGUUUUCGGUUCGGCCGGACGAAACACAGGUGCUGCAUGGCUGUCGUCAGCUCGUGUCGUGAGAUGUUGGGUUAAGUCCCGCAACGAGCGCAACCCUCACUUUUAGUUGCCAUCAUUAAGUUGGGCACUCUGAAAGAACUGCCAGUGAUAAGCUGGAGGAAGGUGGGGAUGACGUCAAGUCCUCAUGGCCCUUACGUGUUGGGCUACACACGUGCUACAAUGGUAUCUACAACAGGAAGCAAGACUGCGAAGUUAAGCAAAUCCUUAAAAGAUACCUCAGUUCGGAUUGCACUCUGCAACUCGAGUGCAUGAGGCUGGAAUUACUAGUAAUCGUGGAUCAGCGUGCCACGGUGAAUGCGUUCCCGGGUCUUGUGCACACCGCCCGUCACACCAUGGGAGUUGGUUCUACCUUAAGGCAAGGUUUUAUACCCUUGACCACGGUAUAGUCAGCGACUGGGGUGAAGUCGUAACAAGGUAAC
rnacentral:rRNA from 1 species